GGGGCCGACCGGUUUUGACAGCGAGACCAAUGGCGGUGUAAGCAUGCCGAGCUAUGGGAAUGAUGCUCGUAAAUUCAAUGUCUCAAACUUUUAAAUGGCGAGUCUAACUACGCUUUAGCUGCUUAAUUGACUGAAUUAUAGUAAGUCCAAGCCUAGUCGCGCAAGGCGCGAAAGCUGAAUGUUCCCUGGUAGCCCUUGUUGACGGCGACCAAUUUAGGAGCACCAUAAAAGUCAACACCGAAUUGUUUGUGCUUUGGUAACAAUUCUAAACUUAAGAAGCUAAGCGUAUAAUAGGCUGUUUUAGGUCGGUUGUGCGUCGAAAAUUAAACUAAAACUAAGCAUGUAGAAAGCUCAGUUAUUGCUUGUUUGGACGAGGGUUCGAAUCCCUCCGGCUCCAC
rnacentral:tmRNA from 1 species